UCUUUUCGGAUGAGCAAAGAAAGUAGUUUCUUGAGAAUGAAUCUACUCCUGGUGAAGAUGCUGUGAA
rnacentral:pre_miRNA from 1 species